rnacentral:misc_RNA from 1 species
GGAAUUGACUGGGGCCCGCACCAAGCGGUGGAAGCAUGUGGUUUAAUUUCGAAGCAACGCGAAGGACCUUACCAGGUCUUGACAUCCUUUGAACACUCUAGAGAUAGAGCUUCCCUUUCGGGGGCAAAGUGACAGGUGGUGCAUGGUUGUCGUCAGCUCGUGUCGUGAGAUGUUGGGGUUAAGUCCCGCAACGAGCGCAACCCUUACUGUUAGUUGCCCAUCAUUCAGUUGGGCACUCUAGCAAGACUGCCGGUGACAAACCGGAGGAAGGUGGGGAUGACGUCAAAAUCAUCAUGCCCCUUAUGACCUGGGCUACACACGUGCUACAAUGGGAAGUACAACGAGUUGCGAAGUCGCGAGGCUAAGCUAAUCUCUUAAAGCUUCUCUCAGUUCGGAUUGCAGGCUGCAACUCGCCUGCAUGAAGCCGGAAUCGCUAGUAAUCGCGGAUCAGCACGCCGCGGUGAAUACGUUCCCGGGCCUUGUACACACCGCCCGUCACACCACGAGAGUUUGUAACACCCGAAGUCGGUGAGGUAACCUUUUGGAGCCAGCCGCCUAAGGUGGGAUAGAUGAUUGGGGUGAAGUCGUAACAAGGUAGCCGUAUCGGAAGGUGCGGCUGGAUCACCUCCUUUAUAAGGAAUAUUACGGAGACUACACAAUUUGUUUUUACUUUGUUCAGUUUUGAGAGGUUUACUCUCAAACACUUUUGUUCAUUGAAAACUGGAUAUUUGAAGUAAAUGUAAGUAAUACAAACCGAGAACACCGCGUUGAAUUUGAAAGCUGAACAAAUUGUUUAGCCUGAAGCAAAAUAGGCGGACGGCCAUAAAAUCUUUGAUUUUAUGAGACGAUCGAUCUUUUUGCCGUACAGGCUGAUUUGUGAGCUGGAUAGAGUUUUUUAAUAAGUUCAAUUGGAUCUUGUCUUAUGGUUAUUGUUUGGGUUAAAGAUAGAUUUAAAGCCAGGGUGUAAGGUAGAGUUAGGGUUAGAGUUAUGGGGUAAAGGUUGUGUUC